AAUAGAUUCUACCAGUUCUGGGAUGAGGCAGCAAAGAAUCGCCACAUACUUGAAGUAGUGCUAGGUUUUGAGCAAGCAAUACAAGAUUAUUCAAUUCAUAUCCUUUCCUUGACUUACCAAAGGGUUCCAAGACCUGUACUUGUAGAGGGUAUCAACAUUGAAGGGCUCUCGCUAGACAAGUUCUUAGAGCAUCAACUUGCCAACUGUGGAUGGACUCUUGAGAAGGGCCACGGUCGGGGCUAGCUUAUUAUUCUUCCUUGCAAUGAAUUCAACCAGCUAGAGCUCAAGAAAAAUACUGUUGAUAGUAUCCCUCUAGAACAUAUUACCUGGAUCUUCCCUAUUCUCAGUUGAAACCAAAAGCUUGUUUUAUUUGGGUGAUUAUGACCAGA